UGACCCCAACCCGAUUUGAACGGAUAACCUUUCGAUCUGGAGUCGAACGCGCUACCGUUGCGCCAUGAGGCC
rnacentral:tRNA from 1 species